GGCUCAAUGGUCUAGUAGUAUGAUUCCUGCUUCGGGUAAUUCCGGCCGUAAUGUGCGGCUUCUAUGCAGGAGGUCGCGGGUUCAAUUCCCGCUUGAGCCC